GACGUAGGAUGCGAGCGUUGUCCGGAUUUAUUGGGCGUAAAGAGUUCGUAGGCGGUUCGUUAAGUCUGAUGUUAAAGACUGGGGCUCAACCUCGGGAGUGCAUUGGAUACUGGCGGACUUGAGUGCAGUAGAGGCGAGUGGAAUUCUCAGUGUAGCGGUGAAAUGCGUAGAUAUUGGGAAGAACACCGGUGGCGCAGGCGACUCGCUGGGCUGUAACUGACGCUGAGGCGCGAAAGCGUGGGGAGCAAACAGG
rnacentral:rRNA from 1 species